rnacentral:rRNA from 1 species
CUGCGGUCGCCUGAGCGCCUUAUCCACUCGCAGCUCCACCGCUUUCCCUACCACCCAUUCCCCACCCCACCCUCCACAGUCUACUAUCUCUCGUCGUCGAAUUUGAAGCCGAGACGACCGGCGUUGGGCAGGCGGGACGGAGGCGAAGCCCGUCUGGCAGUCGGAGUUAUGUCGGGCGGCACACGAGUGCAGUGUGUUGGUCGGGCGAGCGUGACCUCGAGGAGCAACACGUUGCGACCUCCACGCUGUAGGGCGGGAAUCGACACCUCUCCGACCGCCUCCACGCCGCCGGGCUGGUAGAGGAGGACGGGGACCAGCUGGCCGCCGUCAACGACGGGAAUAUGCAUGGUGCCGGGCCUGUUGCCAUGGUGACCCUCCUCGCCGUCCUGCACUCGACGCCCAUCAUGGAGAUGUCGCCAUGACCCUUCUCCCUUGUGAUUGAGGCACAAAGCAGAGGAAGAUGGGGAAGAAUACGACGUGGUGCCCAUGGCCUUCAUCGAACCCGACGACGAAUCGUCACUGAGCGUAUUCACUCAUCCAUUUUUCUCUCUUUCAUGCUACUACUGAUGGACGCAUAGUGGCCAUUGACGAGAUUUUUUGGUCAUGUUAUGUGUCAUUUUAGUUCGAUAAAACUCAUAGGUAGGAGUAGAUGGCAUUUUUACGGUGUUUUUCUUUUCUUUUGGUAAGCUCCACAUUGUGUGUGUAUUUAGUUCCCUAACACCUUAGUGAUGGCAGUUUUCAUUUUCAGUAACCAUGUCAUCAUUUUCGUCAAAUGAGGUGAUCAGCAUGUAUGUGUCAAGCUAUUUUUUGCUUUUGUUUUGCUUCACAUACAUGUAUUUAUAGUUCAUAGUUCUGCUCUAAUUUUCAUAAUCAUGGCAAUUAAGUAUGUGCAUAGGUGGCUAUUUUUUUAAAAUUAUCAUGGCAUCUUUGUGUGUACAAGAAUUGGGGUUCAGACUAUAUCCAUGUUGUCGGCAAUAGUUAUAUUAAUGUUUUGACAUGUAAACUUAGUUUUGUUUGCCAUGAUAACUAUAGUUAUUUUGUGAUGGCCCACAAGUAUAGGGGAUCACGAUAGUCCUCGAGGGUAGUAUUUUACCUAAUUUAUUGAUUCGAUACAAUAAGAGCCAAAGAAUAUUUAUAAGCCUUAACAGUUGAGUUGUCCAUUUAACCAAGCAUGAGAAGCCACUUCUGUGCAGCAAUUUAUUAGUAGCAUAGUAACAUGAUAACAAUGAUAGCAGUAGUAAUGGUAAAAAUAGCAGUAAUAGCAGUUUUGUGGCAAUUAGAUCAGCAUCGGUUGGAUCAGCAGCAGUAAUAGUAACUUGAGCAAAGACAAUAUUGUAAAAGCGUAGGUAUGGAUUAGCGAUAGAUAUUCAGACGUAAUUCAUAAUGUAACGUUCACAACCUAGAGCGACACACAAUGACUCUAAUUCAUCAAUUGUAUGUAGGCAUGUAUUCCAUAUUUAGUCAUACGCGUUUGUGAUAAGAACUUGCAAGACAUCCCCUCUCGUGGAAACGGAGUCCUAAUGGAAACUAAGGAUAAUUACGGUGCUCCUUUCAAUAGAGAACUGGAACAAAGUAUUAGAACAUAGUGAAUACACAAACUCUUCAAAUUACAGUCAUCUCCGGACAGUAUCCCAAUUAUUCUCACUUUGGAGAUCUAUGGAUCGAAACAAUAAUAGGUUCAUAUAACUUGCAGAUAGGAUCAUGAACUCAAAUAUAUUCAUGCAAACAUAAUAGAUUAAGAUCUAAAAAUCAUGGCACUUGGAUCCUAUUGAAAAGCAUUAAACAUAACAAAGUCAUAGCAACAUCAAUCUCAGAACAUAGUGUAUACUAGGGAUCAACCCUAACAAAUUGACUCGAUUACAUAAAGAUUCUCAUCCAUCUCUAUCCACCUCCAGUAUGCCUACAAUGGAAUUACUAACUCCCGGUAGUGAGCAUCAUGAGGUUGUCAAUUGGAGAAGGGUUGGUGAUGACAACGGUGAUGAAUCCCUCUUGGCGGAGACUCGAACGGACUCUAGAUCAGGCUCCUGGUGAAGAAGAGGAGGUGGCGGCGGCUCCAUAUCAUAAAAUACGAUAAAACUUUAUCUCUGAUUUUUUUUCUCAGGAAGACGAUAUAUGUAGCUUGGAAU